rnacentral:rRNA from 1 species
ACCCCACUGCUAUCGGGAUAGGACUAAGACAUGCUAGUCGUGCGCUUCCAGCCAACACGGGAGCGCGGCACACAGCUCAGUAACACGUGGCUAAUCUGCCCUUGGGACCGGAACACCCCCGGGAAACUGGGGCUAAUUCUCGAUAGGUGAAGAACUCUGGAAUGAGUCUUCGCUUAAAAGACGUUUGCGUUAUGCUCGUAGACGUCGCCCAAGGAUGAGGCCGCGACCGAUCAGGUUGUUGGUGAGGUAAUGGCUCACCAAGCCUUUUACCGGUGCGGGCCGUGAGAGCGGGAGCCCGGAGAUGGGCACUGAGACAAGGGCCCAGGCCCUACGGGGCGCAGCAGUCGCGAAAACUUUGCAAUACACGAAAGUGUGACAGGGCUAUCCCGAGUGCCAUCCGCUGAGGAAGGCUUUUACCCAGUCUAGAACGCUGGGGGAAUAAGGAGAGGGCAAGUCUGGUGUCAGCCGCCGCGGUAAUACCAGCUCUCCGAGUGGUGUGGAUGUUUAUUGGGCCUAAAGCAUCCGUAGCUGGCUAAGUUAGUCCCUUGUUAAAUCCACCGAAUUAAUCGUUGGAUUGCGGGGGAUACUGCUUGGCUAGGGGACGAGAGAGGCAGACGGUAUUUCCGGGGUAGGGGUGAAAUCCUAUAAUCCCGGGAAGACCACCAGUGGCGAAGGCUGUCUGCUAGAACGCGCCCGACGGUGAGGGAUGAAAGCUGGGGGAGCGAACCGGAUUAGAUACCCGGGUAGUCCCAGCUGUAAACGAUGCAGGCUAGGUGUUUGGACGGCCACGUGCCGUUCUAGUGCCGCAGGGAAGCUGUUAAGCCUGCCGCCUGGGGAGUACGAUCGCAAGAUUGAAACUUAAAGGAAU